UUGCAGGGAGGUGCUAGAAACCAGAUGAAUUGGACGUUAGCUACUAUCUGCUGCUGCCCUGAAACAGUGUGAAUGGAAAAUUUGCAGUGUGGACACUACUGUAUAGGGAAUUGUUGAUGGGAGCUUAAGCAACCGUUGGUUUGAUUGGAGGCAAUGGAGAAUCUUGCAAUUCCCAGAGAGCAUUGUACUGCCUUGUGCUUUGAGAAACAUGGCUUAAGGCUGAACUGCCAAUGUAAACCCUCAUAGCAGUUUGUUUGAGUAUGGCGCCUAGAUCUCUGAAUCACUGCCACCGCAUCCCCCCUACUGCUUGAAUGUAUAUGAAUUUCUGCAAUAAGAGCAAAGUUGGAUUUAAAUGGAUGAAAAGAGUACAAACUGGCAUUUUCAUGUGAUAUGGAUGAUGGAAAAGGACUUGCGCACACAAGAAUGGUUGAUGAAAAUCUCGGAAUAUGCAGAGAUGGCAAAAUUGAUGGCACUGAUGAAAGACACAAGUUGAGAAUCUUUUAAAGAAGACUGGAAACCCUUUCUAGUUUAUAUAAAGUUAUUUCCCAUAUGCGAAGACCACAGUGGGGUUUGUGGUGUAAGAAAACUGCAGAAUAUAUGAAGAAACAUGUUAGAGAGAGGAUGAAUUUAGAUAAGAGGGAACCUUAAAACACAGUUGUAUGUGUUUUGGGUUAUAAACAUUGAUGUUGGGUGUGAGCAGGAAGUCACUAGCUUUGUUGAAUUGGAAUAUAAUUGUUGAGUAACAAAUGUAACUGUAUGGAAAAAAAGAAUAAAAUAUUGUUAUAAAAAAAGAAAGAAAGAAA